rnacentral:rRNA from 1 species
CCUACGGGAGGCAGCAGUGGGGAAUCUUGCGCAAUGGGCGAAAGCCUGACGCAGCCAUGCCGCGUGGAUGAUGAAGGUCUUAGGAUUGUAAAAUCCUUUCAGCGGGGACGCGGUACCCGCAGAAGAAGCCCCGGCUAACUUCGUGCCAGCAGCCGCGGUAAUACGAAGGGGGCUAGCGUUGCUCGGAUUUACUGGGCGUAAAGGGCGCGUAGGCGGACAGUUUAGUUGGGGGUGAAAGCCCGGGGCUCAACCUCGGAAUUGCCUUCAAUACUGGCUGUCUUGAGUAUGGGAGAGGUGAGUGGAACUCCGAGUGUAGAGGUGAAAUUCGUAGAUAUUCGGAAGAACACCAGUGGCGAAGGCGACUCACUGGCCAUACUGACGCUGAGGCGCGAAAGCGUGGGGAGCAAACAGGAUUAGAUACCCUUGUAGUC